rnacentral:rRNA from 1 species
UACGAAGGGGGCUAGCGUUGCUCGGAAUCACUGGGCGUAAAGCGCACGUAGGCGGAUCGUUAAGUCAGGGGUGAAAUCCUGGAGCUCAACUCCAGAACUGCCCUUGAUACUGGCGACCUUGAGUUCGGGAGAGGUGAGUGGAAUUCCGAGUGUAGAGGUGAAAUUCGUAGAUAUUCGGAAGAACACCAGUGGCGAAGGCGGCUCACUGGACUGGUAUUGACGCUGAGGUGCGAAAGCGUGGGGAGCAAACAGG